UGCUGAAAAAAAAAUCUAGCUGUGUAUGAAUCAGCAUCAGUCACAAUAUCAUCAUCAUACCAAUGAACCCGGAAAGGAUGGUUGAUUCAAAGGCAAUGCAUUUAUUCAGUUCUCUGAGAACUUGGGCAGCUGGUGGAGACCACCCACCUGGCGAUAGAGCUCAGGAGGCUUUUGGCGGAAAGAUUUAUCGUAACAGAAGAAGAAUAAGAAGAAUAAGAAGAAUAAGAAGAAUAAGAAGAAUAAGAAGAAUAAGAAGAAGAAGAAGAAGAAGAAGAAGAAGAAGAAGAAGAAGAAGAAGAAGAAGAAGAAGAAGAAGAAGAAGAAGAAGAAGAAGAAGAAGAAGAUAUGGCAGAACCAAGCAUCACCUACUAGAAAUAAAAUCUAAAGUUAAGAGCUAGAUGAGGCAAGUGUAUGGAUCUCAAAAAACAUUGGAUGGUCUGGUUUGACAUUAUUUAUAAUAAGGGAUAGCUAAGUGAGAAUACCUUUCAAAUUAAAAACAAUGUAACUGUUUCCUGGAACCUGAGAGCUCCCCAAAGAGGGAAAGAGAGA
rnacentral:lncRNA from 1 species